rnacentral:lncRNA from 10 species
AACCAUACUCCCAUCUGUCAUGGCAGCUGCAGCAAGCCUCACCCAAGGAGAGUCUGGCUGGAGGCCAAACAACACAAAACCAGCACACUUAACAAAAAUAUAACCAAUGACCCUUGCAGAGUCCACUUAACUCCCCUCCACCAGAGCAGGUGCUGGUAUCCACAGCUGAGAGACCUGAAGAUGGAUCACAUCACAGGACUCCUUGCAGACAUUCUCCAGUACCAGCCCAGAGCCUGGUAGGUCUGUUGGGUGGCUAGACCAGUAUUCUAAGUGAAGUAACUCGGAAAUGGAAAACCAAACAUCAUCUGUUCUCACUCAUCAGUAGGAGCUAAGCUAUGAGAACACAAAGGUAUAAAAAUGAUACAAUGGACUUUGGGGACUUGGGGGAAAGGGUGGGUGAGGGUUGGGAUAAAAGACUACACAUUGGGUACAGUGUACACUGCUUAGGUGAUGGCUGCACCAGAAUCUCAGAAAUCACCACGGAAAACUUAUCCAUGUAACCAAGCACCACCUGUUCCCCAAAAACCUAUUGGAAAAAAUAAAGGACAACAUGGAUGAAACUGGAGAUUAUUAUGUUAAAUGAAAUAAGCUAGGCAC